GACGUAGGAGGCGAGCGUUGUCCGGAUUCAUUGGGCGUAAAGAGCGCGCAGGCGGCUUGGUAAGUCGGAUGUGAAAUCCCGAGGCUCAACCUCGGGUCUGCAUCCGAUACUGCCCGGCUAGAGGUAGGUAGGGGAGAUCGGAAUUCCUGGUGUAGCGGUGAAAUGCGCAGAUAUCAGGAGGAACACCGAUGGCGAAGGCAGGUCUCUGGGCUGACACUGACGCUCAUGCACGAAAGCGUGGGGAGCAAACAGG
rnacentral:rRNA from 1 species